CAGUCAGGAUUUAUUUAUUUUAGUUAGUCUUCUAUAAAGAAGCGAUUAUCUCUUAUAGCCUAUUUAAUUUAUAAAAUACAUUGUGAAAUACAUUUUGAAAUAUAUUAUUUCUUAUGCGCUACUAUAUAAAUAUUCGUGACGCAUUUUUUAUUCUAGUUAAAACUGAAUAUUAAGUACAUCGUUCUGAUUACAAGUUAGAAAAAAAAUCCGAUUUGCAUGAUUGAGCGUAUGCAGCAAAACAUUUCUUUCACGAGGCUGUAGGCUAUGCUCUAUAAGAAUACUUCAAGGACAGAUCGAGAAUCGGAAGAAAAUAUUCUAAAUUACAGCAUCAUAAAUGAUGAGUGUUUAUGUUCAUUAGUCGAUGCAGAGCAUGAAUCAUGACUUGUUUAUCCUCCGCAGAGGUAAGCUCCGGAUCCUCCCCCUCCAUUGCAGUGUAACGUUAAAUACAUUCCUCCUCCCUGACAACCGAAUUUUACAUUUAUUUAUUUAAUUUAUUUUUUUGUUAUUUUUCAGAAGUGCGCCUCGUCGGAUGAAAUCCUGAUAAAUCGAAACCUGAAACUCCAGGGUAGAUUGUGAAGCGGCUUGGCGAAUUAAUUACAGGAUAAAUGAGCGGAUAGUAGGCAGGAACUGGAAAUCGGGCAUGCGCUGCCAUAAAUAGCUACAAGACCAAGGCCUCCGCCUCUGUUCUGGGUACUUACGGAAGGGCAGCACUAAAAGGCAGAUUUGCUUUACGCUGAAUCACAGCUCGUUGACCUUUGGCUGAAGCGACUGGCUCUUUGAAAAAGAUAGAUGAUCCCUUGAGAAUUCCCGGCUAUGGCUUUGGAAUUCUGCAACCUCCCUGGCAUUCUCUCAGCUGCUAAAAUCAGCUGCAACACAUCAUUCAGUCCCCUCUUCUCACCCCGUCCCACCCCUGACCCCCACCCCUGCCGUCUCUGUUUCCUGUGAUCAGCGGAAGUCCCAAGGAAAGGACAGAGGCCUGUGCGGACAUGGCAGCGUCCCGGGAAAGAUUGAAGUCUCCCACUAACUCAGAAAAAAAGGAUUAUGGGGGUCAAAAGGUUCCCUCUGCACACGGCUUUACAGGUUAGCUACCCCACUGCUUUACUGGGGAGGCUCACAUCUGGAAUCCAACCCCACUCAGUGACCCCCAGUCCUAAGUCUCGAUCAGUAGACAUACAGUCUACCCCUGAAAACCUCACCUUCAAUGUGCCACAAUCAUGUGCGGCAGACACUGAACAAACAUGAAUGUGGUAUACAGAAUGGCAGUUAUAGGGUACAGAAUCUGAGGAAUAUACAAUGAAACACACACACACAUAUAUAUACAUAUGGAAAAGCAUUCAGGGUUAAAUAGUGAUGUGUAAGCAGAUGAUUUUUUAUGAAUACUAUGAAUACUCUUCUUCUAAAUCCAUCAACAAAUGUAAGACUCCAGUGUGUGCUGUACACUGUUGAAUGGUGAAAUAGUCAAUCAUUUCCUAUGCAAAUAAAGCUCUUUUAAGGCCACAGAAGAGACUCUGAAAUGACAACAGAUUAAAAUUUGCACAUUAGGCAUUUGUGUGGUCACAAGCUCAGAUUUAGUCUUUUUUUUUUUCUCCAGAAAUAACCACACUGCAUCACUGAUUACUGUACAGUGCAGUCCUUCCGUCAAACAGAUACGCUACUGAAGUCAUUUUUUGGGCAGGACUUCUACGCUUCUGCUUUUCCUAUACACAACAUUCACCUUGGUGUCCUCCAUUCAGAAUAAAGGUAGAUUGUAACCACUGUAUUUUCUCUUCAUUGUAUCCAUUUCCUCCCUGUAUACCCCCAUGCAGGGAGGUGAAAGCGGUAAUGGCUUCCUGUACACGAGAAGACAUAAUGCACUGCAGGCUGCUUCACACCACAGCGUUUGGGAUAAGCUUUACUUCCAUUUUAAACUGACUCUCCUGGCCUAAAGUGUGGUCCAAUACUGAAUCUUCUGGCCAAUCUCUUUUUCUAAUAGAAUCUGCAUAUUUAACCUCUAUAAUAGAGAGAUGUACUUAUCUUCACAAAUAAGCAGCAAAAGCACAUGGACAUGU